rnacentral:rRNA from 1 species
UACGAAGGGUGCAAGCGUUGUUCGGAUUUACUGGGCGUAAAGCGCGCGCAGGCGGAUCAAUAAGUCAGAUGUGAAAUCUCGGGGCUCAACCCCGAAACUGCGUCUGAAACUGUUGAUCUAGAGUUAUGGAGGGGAGAGCGGAAUUUCGCAUGUAGGGGUAAAAUCCGUAGAGAUGCGAAGGAACACCAGAGCCGAAGGUGGCUCUCUGGCCAUUAACUGACGCUGAGGCGCGAAAGCGUGGGUAGCAAACAGG